rnacentral:rRNA from 1 species
CUACGGGUGGCUCCAGUGGGGAAUAUUGCACAAUGGGGGAAACCCUGAUGCAGCGAUGCCGCGUGAACGAAGAAGGCUUUCGAGUCGUAAAGUUCUGUUCUUAGGGAAGAAAAUGACGGUACCUAAGGAGAAAGCACCGGCUAAAUACGUGCCAGCAGCCGCGGUAAUACGUAUGGUGCAAGCGUUGUCCGGAAUUACUGGGCGUAAAGAGUUCGUAGGCGGUCAAAUAAGUCAGGAGUGAAAGGCUACGGCUCAACCGUAGUGAGCUUUUGAAACUGUUUGACUUGAGUACUGGAGAGGAAAGUGGAAUUCCUAGUGUAGCGGUGAAAUGCGUAGAUAUUAGGAGGAACACCAGUGGCGAAGGCGGCUUUCUGGACAGUAACUGACGCUGAGGAACGAAAGCGUGGGGAGCAAACAGGAUUAGAUACCCCGGUAGUC